rnacentral:rRNA from 1 species
CGGACGGGUGAGUAACACGUGGAUAACCUACCUAUAAGACUGGGAUAACUUCGGGAAACCGGAGCUAAUACCGGAUAAUAUAUUGAACCGCAUGGUUCAAUAGUGAAAGACGGUUUUGCUGUCACUUAUAGAUGGAUCCGCGCCGCAUUAGCUAGUUGGUAAGGUAACGACUUACCAAGGCAACUAUGCGUAGCCGACCUGAGAGGGUGAUCGGCCACACUGGAACUGAGACACGGUCCAG